AUUGAACGCUGGCGGCAGGCCUAACACAUGCAAGUCGAGCGGAUGAAGGGAGCUUGCUCCUGGAUUCAGCGGCGGACGGGUGAGUAAUGCCUAGGAAUCUGCCUGGUAGUGGGGGAUAACGUCCGGAAACGGGCGCUAAUACCGCAUACGUCCUGAGGGAGAAAGUGGGGGAUCUUCGGAUCUCACGCUAUCAGAUGAGCCUAGGUCGGAUUAUCUAGUUGGUGGGGUAAAGGCCUACCAAGGCGACGAUCCGUAACCGGUCUGAGAGGAUGAUCAGUCACACUGCAACUGAGACACGGUCCACACGCCUACGGGAGGCAGGAGUAGGCAAUCUUAGACAAUUGGCGAAAACCUGAUCCAGCCACGCCGCGUGUGUGAAGAACGUCUUCUGAUUGUAAAGCUCUUUUAGUUGGGAGAAAGGGCAGUAAGUUAAUACCUUGCUGUUUUGACGUUACCAACAGAAUAAGCACCGGCUAACUUCGUG
rnacentral:rRNA from 1 species